UACGUAGGCAGCAAGCGUUGUUCGGAAUUACUGGGCGUAAAGAGUGUGUAGGCGGUGUUCUAAGUUUGUCGUGAAAUCUCCCGGCUUAACUGGGAGGGUGCGGCGAAAACUGGAAUGCUAGAGGAUGGGAGAGGUAAGCGGAAUUCCUGGUGUAGCGGUGAAAUGCGCAGAUAUCAGGAGGAACACCGGUGGCGAAGGCGGUUCUCUGGGACGUUACUGACGCUGAGGAGCGAAAGCGUGGGGAGCGAACAGG
rnacentral:rRNA from 1 species